UGUCCUCUUUUUCUCUUUCCAACUCAACUUUUCUCUCACUUUCCACCAAAACCUCCAUUUUAUCUCUGCUAAUUUCUUAAAUUUUACCAUUUUUUUGUUCUUCCUCACAAUCAAAUCAAAUCGAUUUCACAUGAUUUCGCCGCCCUCCAUUUAUCAACGUAGAUUGACCAAAAUCAAUGGAGUUCUCCUUAUUCCCCCUCUUCUCUAGAUCUUCUUUCAACUUGGUAAGCGAGGAUAGUUUCUGAAAAUGAUAUCAAUGACGGAAAAGAUGUAAAUAUAGUUUUUGUAUAUGUUUUUGUCCACGAUAUAUUUUUGUCCAUGAUAAUUAUGUGUUUUUGUCCAUUGUUCUUAUAUAGUAUGUGAUUCUUGUAUCGUUUGUAAACAUAUUUUCUAAAAUUUUUUA